rnacentral:rRNA from 1 species
AUUGAACGCUGGCGGCAGGCCUAACACAUGCAAGUCGAACGAGUGGCGGACGGGUGAGUAAUGUCUGGGAAACUGCCUGAUGGAGGGGGAUAACUACUGGAAACGGUAGCUAAUACCGCAUACCAGCAGAUGUGCACAGAUGGGGUUAGCGAGGUGGUGGGGUAACUGCUCACCAAGGCGAAGAUCCCUAGCUGGUCUGAGAGGAUGACCAGCCACCCUGGAACUGAGACUCGGUCCAGACUCCUACGUGAGGCAGCAGUGGGGAAUAUUGCGCAGUGGGCGCAAGCCUUAUGCAGCCAUGCCGCGUGUAUGAAGAAGGCCUUCGUGUUGUAAAGUACUUUCAGCUGGGAGGCGUUACCCGCAGAAGAAGCACCGGCUAACUCCGUGACAGCAGCCGCGGUAAUAC